rnacentral:misc_RNA from 1 species
AUGCUUAAGCUCAUAGUCCCACAUAAUCACAGGUUUACAGAUUUAACGGCCCAGAAAAUUUUGUUCAACAAUACAAACCAGGCUAUAGGCUCAACUCCUCAUAAGCCCAUAUGAUACAAGCUUAAAGGCCCAUUACUCCAACAGCCUUAGCGAAUAGAAGAGAAAGGAAAGCAAGGAACGCAGUCAAUAGAAUAGAAAGGAAAGCAAGGUGGAAGGCAGUCGAAUAAACUAGCGCUAGCCUCCACCAUUGCAUAGAAGAGGACCAUUCGGAUCUCAAAUAGAAAAGUAGACCAAUCAGCUCCUCUCGGAGUCUCGAACAAAGAGGAAGAAUCAAAAAGCGCUACCCCAAGAAGUCCUUACCAGAAAAAUAGAGCACUGCCUUCAGUAAAUCUAAGCGACAAAACUAGCGAUCUACGCGAAAGUCUAUGGGCAAAGCUUAAACAAUAUCCGCAUCUAGAAUCAUGCAAUCUUCAGGUGAGUCAGCGAUAGGACCCCUGAAAUGCCCAUCCUCACGGCAUUGAUACACCCACAUUGCAAGAGGUUUUGAACCAAAAAGACAGAAACCAAGUCAUCAAAGCGAAGCACAACUCUUGCCGAACACAACCACAUUGCAAGUUAAAAAUAACAAGCUCCUUCACCAUUCUACCUUUUACCUGCAAAAAUAAAAGAAAACUCAACUCAACUCAAUUA